CCAGCAGCCUCCGCGCGCGGCCCGUUAAGCCCCGGGGGCUGUGUACUUGCAGGUUCCGUCCCAUCCUCGCUUACACUGAGCAUCACCGUGAGGCAGGUGCGACACCCAAGCUCUGGCCUCUGUGAACCCUCCAGGCAAGUAAACUCCAAGGAAGACUGACCAGUUCUUGAGUUUCUAAACCAUGGCCCAUACAUGUUUGGAUGAUCAAGAUACGCCAGAGUAUUCAAGAGGCUGCACCUAUAGCAACAGGAUUCUUCAAGAGCACAUAGGCAUGCUGCUUCAGGCACACUCAUUU